GAUGAACGCUAGCGGGAGGCCUAAUACAUGCAAGUCGGACGGCAGCAGGCAUAGCAAUAUGCGCUGGCGAGUGGCGCACGGGUGAGUAACGCGUACGCAACCUACCCCUGACCGGGGCAUAGUCACGGGAAACUGUGAAUAAUACCGCAUGCGGUUCGGCGCCUGCAUGGGCGGCGGACCAAAGUUUUCGCGAGCGGUCGGGGAUGGGCGUGCGUCUGAUAGCUAGUUGGCGGGGCAACGGCCCACCAAGGCUACGAUCAGUAGGGGGCGUGAGAGCGCGGCCCCCACACGGGUACUGAGACACGGACCCGACUCCUACGGGAGGCAGCAGUAAGGAAUAUUGGACAAUGGCGGAAACGCUGAUCCAGCCACUCCC
rnacentral:rRNA from 1 species